rnacentral:rRNA from 1 species
UCAAUCAAAACGAUUGAACAUAUGCCAGAGUGCGGGUUUUGACAAAGUCAAAACCAACCAUAAUUCAAAGUUACUUCAAUGUAACGACAACAAAUAAUGAGCUAUUCAAAGAUGAAAGGUGGCCUCUACAUGUAAGCUAUCACUGAAGGAGGGGAUUGCGUCUGAUUAGCUAGUUGGAGGGGUAACGGCCCACCAAGGCGAUGAUCAGUAGCCGGUCUGAGAGGAUGAACGGCCACAUUGGGACUGAGACACGGCCCAGACUCCUACGGGAGGCAGCAGUGGGGAAUCUUCCGCAAUGGACGAAAGUCUGACGGAGCAACGCCGCGUGAGUGAUGACGGCCUUCGGGUUGUAAAGCUCUGUUAAUCGGGACGAAAGGCCUUCUUGCGAAUAGUGAGAAGGAUUGACGGUACCGGAAUAGAAAGCCACGGCUAACUACGUGCCAGCAGCCGCGGUAAUACGUAGGUGGCAAGCGUUGUCCGGAAUUAUUGGGCGUAAAGCGCGCGCAGGCGGAUAGGUCAGUCUGUCUUAAAAGUUCGGGGCUUAACCCCGUGAUGGGAUGGAAACUGCCAAUCUAGAGUAUCGGAGAGGAAAGUGGAAUUCCUAGUGUAGCGGUGAAAUGCGUAGAUAUUAGGAAGAACACCAGUGGCGAAGGCGACUUUCUGGACGAAAACUGACGCUGAGGCGCGAAAGCCAGGGGAGCGAACGGGAUUAGAUACCCCGGUAGUCCUGGCCGUAAACGAUGGGUACUAGGUGUAGGAGGUAUCGACCCCUUCUGUGCCGGAGUUAACGCAAUAAGUACCCCGCCUGGGGAGUACGACCGCAAGGUUGAAACUCAAAGGAAUUGACGGGGGCCCGCACAAGCGGUGGAGUAUGUGGUUUAAUUCGACGCAACGCGAAGAACCUUACCAGGUCUUGACAUUGAUGGACAGAACCAGAGAUGGUUCCUCUUCUUCGGAAGCCAGAAAACAGGUGGUGCACGGUUGUCGUCAGCUCGUGUCGUGAGAUGUUGGACUCAUGAGAGACUGCCGCAGACAAUGCGGAGGAAGGCGGGGAUGACGUCAAAUCAUCAUGCCCCUUAUGACCUGGGCUACACACGUACUACAAUGGGAGUUAAUAGACGGAAGCGAGAUCGCGAGAUGGAGCAAACCCGAGAAACACUCUCUCAGUUCGGAUCGUAGGCUGCAACUCGCCUACGUGAAGUCGGAAUCGCUAGUAAUCGCAGGUCAGCAUACUGCGGUGAAUACGUUCCCGGGCCUUGUACACACCGCCCGUCACACCACGAAAGUCGGAAGUGCCCAAAGCCGGUGGGGUAACCUUCGGGAGCCAGCCGUCUAAGGUAAAGUCGAUGAUUGGGGUGAAGUCGUAACAAGGUAGCCGUAUCGGAAGGUGCGGCUGGAUCACCUCCUUU